rnacentral:misc_RNA from 1 species
GACUCGUUUAAACGCCGGUGAAACUGAUUGCCGUUCGGCGAACACUUUAUUCCUACGGCGUAACGGUGUGACGAUUUUCAGAGUGACGAAGAGACGAGAGUUCGACGAAGAACGGAGCUCGCGACUGCAACCGUUUACGGCAUCGUUAUAAACCAGAGCGAAGCAGAUCAGCAAAAAUCCCACGACCGACAACUCGGCGAUCCAGAUUUCCUCCGGGUACGGUUGGAGCAUACGAACCAGCAUGGGCAUCACGCGGGCCUUCGGAACGAGAACUAGUUG